UUUUCCCUCUCCCAGCAAAUGAGUGAGGAAAUAAAGCAGCCCGAAUACUAGAAUCUCUGUAUUCAAUCUAAUUUGUAAGCCUGGGUCCAUCUGUUACGUUGAUUUUUUUGUUCAUGAUUGUCAACUGGGGACACCCUGCACAGCAGGAAUUGUACCUCGUUGAACCUUUGUUCGGCAGUGCAACGCACAUACCUCACAUUGAACAUAUUUUAUGGGUAGAAAUUUGCUUUCUGUGUGGAAAC
rnacentral:lncRNA from 1 species